ensembl:lncRNA
CAAGAUUGUAAAGAGUCAGAUGUGGCUGAGCGACUGAACUGAACUGAACUCUAUAGCUGAAGUGAAAGGUGAGAUUUUAAAACUCAUCUAGUUGAGAUUCAACAAAAGUUCACAUAUUUGAGGUGCACCGCUGAUAAGCUCUGGAUGAAGUGAGCUGUGAAAACCUUUCCUCAAUCAGCAGGCUCCAGGACAUGCAUGAUCUUUGUUCUCUGACCAUGCGUGGAACCCAACAUUCUGCGUUUUGGAAGGUGGAGUCUUCAACUGCUGGACCGCCAAGACAGUCCCUGCAUCAGUAUUGUUGAAUUUCAAGUCAAGACUCAGAGAAGAAUAUGGCAACCCACUUGAGUAUUCUUGCCUGGAAAAUCCCAUGGAUGGAGGAGCCUGGUGGGCUGCAGUCCAUGGGGUCGUGAAGAGUCAGACACAACUGAGCGACUUCGCUUUCACUUUUCACUUUCAUGCAUUGGAGAAGGAAAUGGCAGCCCACUCCGGCGUUCUAGCCUGGAGGAUCCCAGGGAUGGGGGAGCCUGGUGGGCUGCCGUCUAUAGGGUCACGCAGAGUCGGACACGACUGAAGCUACUUAGCAGCAGCAGUGUUUUCAGAUUCUGUUCCACUAUAGAUUGAGAUGAGAUAUUCAUUAUACUUCCCUUGUUGCUCGUCUCACUGCUUCUGGCUUACCCCUAGAGUGUACUAGAACCCUGGUUAUCCCAGGAUUCCAUUAUCUGGUAGCCUACCUGCUCCUGUACUGACAAAAAAAUGGAUGGUCAGCAUCUUUCUGCUUCCUUUAGAAGACUCAGAGGAAAUAGCUCCAUAUCUCUCUACAGUACCAGGAUGUGCUAUCAGCCGUAAUCUAUUUAUGUAGUAUUAUCUGCAUCCACAUUUAUUAUAUUGAUAUGGUCAGCCAAGUAAGACAUGAGUGAGAAGUAUAUAAGCAUUUCAUGCAUUUAUUUAUGUUUAGCUGUGUUGGGUCUUUGUUGAGUAUGCAGGCUUCCUGUACGUGCAGCGUGUGGGGG